GUUCCGUAGGUGAACCUGCGGAAGGAUCAUUAAAAAUGAAGCCGGGAAACCGGUCCUUCUAAACCUUGAUAAUCUUAAUUUGUUGCGUUGGUGGGCCGCGCAAGCACCGGCUUCGGCUGGAUCGUGCCCGCCAGAGGACACAACUCCGUAUCAAAUAUCGUCUGGGUACUAUAAAAUAGUCAAAACUUUUAACAACGGAUCUCUUGGUUCUG
rnacentral:misc_RNA from 1 species